GGACUUUUAGCUUAAUUGUUAAAGUUUACAUGUGAUAUAUGUGAGAGUUUUGGUUAAAAUCCAAAAAAGUCCA
rfam:Theileria parva strain Muguga apicoplast, complete genome, whole genome shotgun sequence.